UUUUUAAGAGACGUUUGACAUCAUAAAUAUCGCUAGCUUUGUGUGAAAAGUUGCCAAGUCUACAUUUUAUGAAACCUCAUAUUCUGAUAUAGAAAGCAAG